GAAAACAACAUCAUUUUCUUUUGGCUUCCAAGUUUUGAAGGAGGAUAUCCAAAACUCACCCACCACUAGAAAUGGUAGUGGAUGCAAAACCUUCAAUUUUCCUUACCAAUAGAACAUAUCAGAUUCUAUUUGCUUUUUCCCUUACCAUUAGUGAUAUUUUCUUUUUUUCCCCUUGAGAUUUUUAAGAUAUCUGUUUAACUAAUUCAAGGACCAAACUGCAUAAACGUGUGACAAUGUGCAUCAUUUUUAUUUCAUCUAUUUCUCCAUGCCCUGUAAUAUCAUAUAUGUUCACUGUCUUGUUGCGAUAUUGUCUUUUUGCAAU
rnacentral:lncRNA from 1 species